rnacentral:rRNA from 1 species
AUGGCUGAGGAUGAGGACAAUGGGCGUUUGUAUAUGGGGCUUGACCUUGCUUUUGACAAGGAUCAUCGUGCUCGUGCUAUCGAGCGUGGAGAGAAACUUGUUGUCGUGCGCUUUAGGAGCCACACGACGAAAAACCAGAUGCAAUAUGACGUGCGCUACGAGCCGUACUUUGAGCAUGCCGGGCUGCUACCGUUUGUUCUUCAGUUCAAGCGCGUGCCGCCUUCGAUGUGCCAUUCAGCUCUCACCGCCCUCGUCGAUCGUUGGCGGCCGGAGACACACAGCUUCCAUCUCCCUUGUGGCGAGCUGACGGUGACGUUGGAGGACUUUGCCGUGAUCACCGGGCUUCCCAUUGACGGCAAGGCUCUCACUGGACGAGUGGACAGCAAGAACUGGCAUGCAAGGGUUACCGCUCUCAUCGGUGACUGCUCGGCCUCUCUUAGUGCCCAGGGAAGGACUGACAACAGGACAAACGGUGUCCCAUUCCCUUGGCUCCAGCAUCAUAGGUCGGGAUGCCCUGCAGAAGCUAAUGAGGAGACCGUGGAGCAGUAUGCUCGAGCGUACGUGUGGCACCUCCUAUCACAGGUGGUCUUUGGAGACUACUCUGGAGACGUUGCUCCUUGGAUGUUUCUUGACUUCUUGGCCGACUGGGACGAGAAGUACAGAUGGGGGUCUGCUGGGCUCGCCUACUUAUACCGUCAGCUCGACGUCACAUGUAGGAAAACCACCUCGAAGCCAUGCAUGGGUGGGUGUAUUUGGGGCCUCUCGGUCUGGAUGUGGGAGCGUUUGCCGGUUGGGCGUCCUGAAAAGCAUCCUUCACCGCACGUGUGGGUAGGCCUUAAUGAAGAUGAUGAUGUUUUUCGACUCCCCACCGUGGCAUUCUCUUGGGACCGGGUUAGAAUUUUUGGAAGCAAGAACAAGUCCUUGUACAAGAAUUUCAUCAACGAGAUGGACAGCCUCACAAAUCGUCAGGUUAACUGGAGGCCUUAUGAGGCAAAUAGGGGUUUCACACUGAACCAGAUGUGCACUAGGGACUCACAUCUUUGGCGGAUCAGGUGCCCUCUCAUAUGCAUUUAUGAUGUCGAGUGGCAUCUACCACAUCGAGUGGCCAUGCAAUUUGGUAUGAGGCAACGCACCCCACCGGAGCCAGCAAGCACGGGUGGACUUGAGCUUCAUAAGUGA